rnacentral:rRNA from 1 species
AGAGUUUGAUCAUGGCUCAGGAUGAACGCUAGCUACAGGCUUAACACAUGCAAGUCGAGGGGCAGCAUGUUGGUUGCUUGCAACCAAUGAUGGCGACCGGCGCACGGGUGAGUAACGCGUAUCCAACCUACCCUUGUCCAUCGGAUAACCCGUCGAAAGGCGGCCUAACACGAUAUGCGGUUCACAGCAGGCAUCUAAGGUGAACGAAAUGUGAAGGAGAAGGAUGGGGAUGCGUCUGAUUAGCUUGUUGGCGGGGUAACGCCACAAGGCGACGAUCAGUAGGGUUCUGAGAGGAAGUCCCCCANAUUGGAACUGAGACACGGUCCAAACUCCGUACGGGAGGCA